CCUACGGGAGGCUGCAGUGGGGAAUAUUGGGCAAUGGAGGCAACUCUUACCCAGCAAUGCCGCGUGAAUGAAGAAGGUCUUCGGAUUGUAAAGUCCUUUAAUUGGGGACGAAAAAACUGACGGUACCCAAGGAAUAAGCUCCGGCUAACUACGUGAUAGCAGCCGAGGGAAAACGCAGGGGGCAAGCGAUGUACGGAAUGACUGUGCGGAAAGGGUGUGUAGGCGGUGUAGCAAGUGUGAGGUGAAAUACCUAGUGCUUAACUCACGUGCUGCAUCUAAAACUGCUGUACUUGAGUGCAGUAGAGGAAUGUGGAAUGCGUAGUGUAGCGGUGGAAUGCAUAGAUAUUAGGAGGAACAUCGGUGGCGAAGGCGGCAUUCUGGACUGUAACUGACGCUGAGGCACGAAAGUGUGGGGAGCGAACAGGAUUAGAUACCCGAGUAGUC
rnacentral:rRNA from 1 species